rnacentral:rRNA from 1 species
UACGUAGGCAGCAAGCGUUGUUCGGAGUUACUGGGCGUAAAGGGUGUGUAGGCGGUUCUUUAAGUUUGGUGUGAAAUCUCCCGGCUCAACUGGGAGGGUGCGCCGAAUACUGAGGGACUAGAGUACGGGAGAGGAAAGUGGAAUUCCUGGUGUAGCGGUGAAAUGCGUAGAUAUCGGGAGGAAUACCGAUGGCGAAGGCAGGUCUCUGGGCUGACACUGACGCUCAUGCACGAAAGCGUGGGGAGCAAACAGG